CAACGUGCGUGAAGACAUACAGUACGGGCCGUACGUAAGUACAUGAGACAAGAAAGCAACACGCUACUGAAAUACAAUGGAUUUUGUCCGGCUAUGGACUUUACUCUUAGUCACCUUGAUUUUGGCAAUCUGGGAAGUUCGAGCUGCAUCAAAGCGACAAAAGAAAGACAAGAUGAUACUUCGUCACCUCGAAUUGUUAACAAAACGCUUUCAGAACAUCGAAUUGGAACUUCAGCAAGAAAAACAAAUGAGCGAAUUAUUAAGAGAAGAAUUAGACAAGGUUAAAAACACUGUGAUUACAAGUGAAGAGAAACCGAAAAGUCUUGCACGAGCAGGGGAAUUGCCAGCUGCCGUAAAGACACUGUCGGAUCUCGCGAGAAAAACGUUCCAGACCGACCUUGCCGUGCUGAGGUCGGGAAUGAUCGCGGAAAAACAAAGAGCCGUGCACACGGAGAAUGCUAUCCAGUUGUGUAAGAUGACCCUGAAAAGCCAUUCCUCUCGCUUCGACGCCAUUGACGGAAGGUUGAGUGAACUGGAGCAUAGUAUGACGAAUCUCAACACAACCGCCAUGACCGUAAACAAAAGCUGUAGUCAAGUGCUCUGGGCAUGCGCCAGGAACAGAAAAAGACUUCACGUCAGACAAAUGUCCUCUGUCUGAGCGCUUAUUAAUAAGCAAACAAACACCACGCAAUCUGGGAACAGCGGUGUGUAAAAGCCGAAACUUUGCGUAUGCCUUAUAUGUUACCGUUGAGAAUACCACGCCCUCACCUGAUUCAGAACCUCAUAAGGCUGAGGUAACAAUUGUCGAUAUGGUUAAAAUAGGUGGCGGAUAUAUCCAGGGCAGUAGAAGAACCAGUGUAAGUCUAUCACGUGACUGUCCAUGGCCAAAUAUAGAGGAGAGGGAGCACUACCUGAUUCUUACGGACCAAGCCCUCAAACAACAGGGUCAAAGGUCUACGUUGUCUCUGAUGAACUCUGUUAUUGUGAACUUAAUGUUUGACGGACCACCCUUCCGAUAUACCACCAAAUUGUUGUAUGAUUUACGGAGAAGAAACUGGUAUCAGUUGUGCAGAUCGCGGAAAUGAACAGUUGAGAUAAUGCCCGAUUAUUUUUGUAAAGUUUGGAAAUGUAAAGCUUUAAAUGUGGAAUGUACAGACUCUUGCUCAUCAUAGAUGAAGCGAUUCCUGUCAUUUAAGCGACAACAUUGUUUUUUAUUGCACUCUGUUGUGUUCUGUAUCGUCUGAACGUUAUUAAAAUCAGCUGGUCACCAGAUUCGUAUAUCACGCUGAAAUCCGUUUUGUUUUAUACCACAAAAUGACAUGCAAUAAACAUAGCUGCUCCUGCCAUUGCCAUUGGCACUUGGA